AAUGCAAGAGAAAACAGAAGGCCAAGGCCAAAGCUAAAAAAGAUUGGAAAAAGGAAAAUCGUCAUCUCAUCAAUCAGCCAAAGCUAAAAAAAAAAAAAAAUUAGUCAAAGCGCCACAUCCUUCUCUCCUUCGAAUUUCUCUCUCUAUUCCUUCCUUUAUUUUUUUCUUUCCUCCUUCUAAAAUCCCCUUUCUCUCUCUAGAUUUCGCCCUUUUCUGCUACGAAAUCCCUAAUUUUAAUCAGAGGUCAGAGUGAUGUUGAUUUGUACAUUAUAUGUUUGAGUUUUGUUUUCACAUUCCUUCUUAGGAUUUGAUGUUGGAAGCAGUAUGCCGCUGAUAGUUGGGAGAAAUGCAAAGGUAUCAUGCUCCCAGCUGCACUAGUGCAGUUAAUAACAGUGCAAUAGGAGGAGCCUCAGUUAGGGAUACUCCCCGGGCUGAUUCAUCUUCAUUACCACCUAACUUCUCAUUGAAUUCUAGGCGGCAAUCUCAGUUAGCACCCUACAAGUUGAAGUGUGAUAAGGAACAUCUGAAUUCCAGACUUGGCCCCCCUGACUUUCAUCCUCAGACUCAGAAUUGCCCCGAGGAGACGCUCACUAGAGAAAAUGUGCAGCAUGGGUAUAAGGAUACUAUUGAUGGACUGGAGGAUUCGAAAGAGAUUUCAUUGACUCAGGUUCAGGCUUUUACAAAGCCAGUUGUUUUGAAAUGCAGAGAUGCAAUUAGAAAGUGUCUAAGGGCUAUCAAUGAAUCUCGUGCUCAAAAGAGGAAGGCUGGUCAGGUUUAUGGUGUCCCUCUUUCUGGUUCACUGUUAAGUAAACCAGGGGUUUUCCCUGAACAAAGGCCAUGCAAUGAAGAUUUCAGAAAAAAAUGGAUUGAGGGCUUAUCACUGCAACACAAGCCUUUGUGUUCUUUGGCCGAUCAAGUUCCUCUAGGGUAUAAGAAGAGACCACUAAUAGAGGUUCUUAUCAGGAAUAAUGUUCCAUUGCUUAAAGCAACUUGGUUUAUCAAAGUAACAUAUCUUAAUCAGGUUCGUCCUGGUUCUGCAAUUUCGUCUGGAGCACCUGAUAAAACUCAAUUAUCUCGUACAGAGCUCUGGACAAAAGAUGUUAUUGAUUACUUGCAAUACCUGUUAGAUGAAUUUUUUUCGAGAAAUAAUUCUCAUUCUACUCAACAUGGUAGAGAUCGGUUGCCCCAAAUACAUUAUGCUGGGUCUUUGCAGCAUAGGAGUGAUCUGGCACCAGCAGUCAUUGAUGGUGAGGAACCGUCUCUUCAUUUUAAAUGGUGGUAUGUAGUGCGGCUCUUGCAGUGGCAUCAUGCAGAAGGACUGGUUCUUCCUUCACUCAUUAUUGAUUGGGUUCUGAAUCAACUGCAGGAAAAGGAUUUGCUUGAGAUUCUGCAGUUGCUGUUGCCUAUCAUUUAUGGAGUUUUGGAAACCAUCAUUCUGUGUCAGACAUAUGUACGCAAUCUUGUGGGUGUAGCUAUUCGCUUCAUCCGUGAACCUUCUCCAGGUGGAUCUGAUUUGGUUGAUAACUCCCGGAGAGCAUACACAAUAUCUGCACUAGUUGAGAUGCUCCGCUAUUUGAUACAGGCUACACCAGAUACAUUUGUUGCUUUAGAUUGCUUUCCUUUACCUACUUGUGUACUCUCACAUACACCUAGUGAUGGUGGUUUUUUAUCUAAGCCCUCUGAUGAUGCAGCAAAAAAAAAUUAUACAGCAGAUGCAUAUGCUGUCAGAGGUAAAGGGUUUGAUUCCCAAUACCAAUCCUUGUCAUUUAAUCAUGUUGUUUCCACCGUCGAGAAACGUGCUGACAAUCUUGCUAAAGGUGCAACUGCUGGAUAUCCUAGCCAAAGUGUGGCAAAAGCUGUGCAGACCCUGGACAAGGCUCUUUUGCAAGGAGAUGUGAUAGAUGCUUAUAAACAUAUCUUCAAUGAUCUUUAUGAUGGAGCAGUAGGCGAGGGUUGGGUAGCAGAAGUCAGUCCAAGCUUAAGAUCAUCACUAAAAUGGCUUCAAACUGUGAAUUUGUCUUUGAUUUGCUCAGUUUUUUUCCUUUGUGAGUGGGCAACUUGUGAUUACCGAGACUUCCGGACUGCUCCACCCUCUGACGUGAAGUUCACUGGCAGUAAAGAUUUUUCACAAAUAUAUCUUGCAAUUCAGCUUUUGAAACUGAAGAUGAAAGAGUUGCAGAAAAAACUCAAGAAGGGAAGGGCAUCAAGAAAGAAUACCAGUCAGCAGAAUAGCUAUUCCAGCAAGGAUUUGUUGGGAGAUACACAUGAAGCUAAAAGCAAUGGAAAAGGUUUAAAUGGAAGGAGGAGGAACUUUUCAGAUAUAUUUGACAGCCCUGGUCCUCUGCAUGAUAUUAUUGUGUGCUGGAUCGAUCAGCAUGAAGGACAUAAAGGAGAAGGUAGCAAACGUCUUCAGCUUUUUAUGUUGGAACUCAUACGUUCUGGAAUUUUUUAUCCUCAGGCAUAUGUGAGGCAGCUAUUAGUUAGUGGAAUUAUUGAUACAAAUGGACCGAUGGCUGACCUAAACAGAAGGAAGAGACAUCAACGAAUCUUGAAGCAGCUCCCAGGGCAGUUUAUGCUUAAUGCUUUGGAAGAAGCAAGAAUUGCUGAGGGCUCAGAACUGCUUGAGGCUAUAAAUGUUUACUCAAAUGAGCGCCUUCUUGUCCUUCAGGAACUUUUUUUUGAUUCAUAUAAUAAUACAAACAAUUCUCAUGCACUAGCCAAGAAGCUAAAUUGUCGUCCUACCUUAGGAAGAGAUGUUGAUUCCCAGGUUUCAUGUGAUAAGAGGAGAACUGUUCAAGCUUCAAAGACUUUCAGGAGAGAAGUGGGCCUUGAAGAACUGAAGGCUUCCAUCUCAGUUUUGCUGCAAUUCCCCAGUUCAUCUUUUUGUUCUGCAGAUAGUGGAGAGGAUGAGUCUCAAGGGAGUAUCAAAAGAUCUAUUGGGUCAACACACAGCAAGAUGGAUUCUGUAGAAGGUACUCCUGGGUGUGAAGAUUGUAAAAGGGUUAAAAGACUGAAAUUAAGUGAGGAUGAGACUUCAUGUCUUAAAGUAUAUUCACCCAUUCCAUCAGAUGAUGAUGAUACUUGGUGGGUGAGGAAGGGGCCCAAAAACUUGGAGGGUUCCAAAGUUGAUCCCUUGCUUAAGUCAACAAAGCAAGCAUCUCGUGGUAGGCAAAAGCCUGUGCGUAAAACUCAGAGUCUAGCACAGUUAGCUGCUGCUAGAAUUGAAGAUAGCCAGGGAGCAUCGACAAGUCACGUUUGUGAUAACAAGAUAAGUUGUCCACAUCAUAGAACUGAGGUGGAAAAUUUGAAGCCAGUUGAUGGGAUCAGAACAACCCAUCAUGCAGAUAUUAUUUCAAUUGGGAGGGGUUUAAAGCAGCUUCGCUUUGUAGAGAAGAGGGUUGUCACUAUUUGGUUGCUAUCUGUAGUUAGGCAGCUUGUUGAAGAGUCAGAGAAAUCUGUCCCCAAGGCUAGCCAGUAUGGUCGACCCUUUGUUGCAGCUGAUGAGAAGAGUCCCUUAAGAUGGAAGCUUGGUGAGGAUGAGCUAUCAGCCAUUCUGUAUCUAUUGGAUGUUUCUUGUGAUUCAGCUUCAGCUGUCAAAUUUCUCCUUUGGUUGUUGCCAAAAGCUAUUAGUAAUCCCAGUCCUGCCAUUCAUGGUGGGAGAAACAUUCUAAUGGUGCCCAGGAAUGUGGAAAACUAUGCUUGUGAAGUGGGGGAAGCAUAUCUUUUAUCAUCUCUCCGAAGGUAUGAGAACAUACUUAUUGCCGCAGAUCUUGUGCCUGAAGCUCUGUCUGCUACAAUGCGUCAUGUUGCUUCAUUUAUGGCCACUAACGGAAGAAUUACAGGUUCUGGAGCCCUAGUUUUUGCUUGUUAUUUGUUGAGGAGGUAUGGCAGUAUUGCCAGUGUGAUUGAAUGGGAGAAGAAUUUCAAGGAGACCUGCGAUAAAAGACUUUUGUCUGAACUUGAAUCUGGACGAACAGAGGGAGAGUUUGGAUUUCCACAUGGAGUUCCUGCUGGGACUGAAGAUCCUGAUGAUUACUGUCGUCAAAGGAUAAAUGUCGGACGGUUAUCUAGAGCUGGUGUAAGCAUGAGAGAUAUGGUUCAGCGUCGUAUUGAUGAUGUCUUGCACUAUAUCUUAGGCAAAGAGAGAAAACAUUUUGCAGCCAACACACAAAGAAGUCCUGCUACUGAAAAAGGGGAUGAUGAUUAUCAAGUUGCUCAACAAAUUAUAAUGGGACUAAUGGACUGUUUUAGGCAGACCGGUGGUGCUUUUCAGGAAGGGGACCCGGGUUUGGUGUCUUCUGCUGUUUCUGCCAUUGUUAGCAAUGUUGGACCAACCCUAGCAAAGAUACCUGAUUUUACUAGCGGCAGCACUUAUUCAAAUUAUCAGCCGCCUAUGAAUUACUUGAAUUUUGCUAAGCGCUUAUUGCACAUCCAUUUAAUAUGUCUAUGCCUGUUAAAGGAAGCUCUUGGAGAGCGCAAAAGCCAAGCAUUUGAGAUAGCUCUUGCAACAGAGGCUUUUUCUGCUUUAGCUGUAGCAUUUGCUCCUGCAAAGUCCUCUCGGGGUCAGUUGUUGUCUCCUGAUUCUCUUGAUUCUCAUGCAAACAUAUCUAAUGACAAUUCGCACAGUUCUGCCAAAGCGACUCUUGGGAGAACUACCAAAAUGGCAGCUGCUGUUUCUGCCCUUGUCAUUGGGGCCAUUAUUCAUGGAGUUAUUAGCUUGGAGAGAAUGGUGUCUGUCUUAAGAUUAAAGGAAGGAUUGGAUGUUGUUCAAUUUGUAAGGAGCACAAAAACCAGCUCUAAUGGUAAUGCCCGAUCUGUUGGGGCUUUUAAGGUGGACAACUCAGUUGAAGUAUAUGUGCACUUGUUUCGGCUGUUUGUUGGGAACUGUAGAACUGUUUGUGAUGGACUAGUAUUGGAGCUCUUGGGUGAACAAUCAGUUUUAGCUCUUUCAAGGAUGCAGAGAUUGCUCCCAAUUAAUUUGGUCUUUCCACCAGCUUAUGCAAUAUUUGCAUUUAUGAUAUGGAAGCCAUUCAUCUUAAACAGUAAUACUGCAAGAAGUGAAGAUAUUCAGCAAUUGUAUCAGUCUUUAACAGUGGCCAUUGGUGAUGCCAUAAAACACAGACCUUUUCGAGAUGUUUGUAUGAGGGAUACUCGUGGUUUUUAUGAUAUUGUAGCUGCAGAUACAACUGAUGCUGAGUUUGCUGCCAUGCUAGAGUUGAAUGGUUUGGACAUGCAUUUGAAAUCCAUGGCCUUUGUCCCUCUUCGUGCAAGGCUCUUUCUAAAUGCUAUAAUUGAUUGUAAAAUGCCUAAUUCUGCUUUUACACAGGAUGAUGGGAAUAGGGUUUCUGGACAUAGUGAGUCUAAAGCUCUUCGUGCAGAGACAUCUAAGCUUUUGGAUAAGCUUGUUUGUGCAUUGGACACUAUUCAACCUGCUAAGUUUCAUUGGCAGUGGGUUGAGUUAAGGCUCCUUUUAAAUGAACAAGCACUUAUUGAUAAGAUUGAGAAUCAUGACAUGUCCAUAGUGGAUGCUAUUCGCUCUUCCUCACCUAGUUCUGAAAGAGCUACUCCUUCUGAGAGUGAGAAAGUUUUCAUCGAAAUUAUUCUUACCAGAUUGUUGGUCAGACCUGAUGCUGCUCCCCUUUUCUCAGAGGUGGUUCAUCUUUUUGGGAGAUCAUUAGAGGAUUCGAUGUUGAUGCAGGCUAAAUGGUUCUUAGGUGGCCUGGAUGUUCUUUUGGGACGGAAAACUGUUAGGCAACGGCUCAGUAAUAUUGCUGAAAAUAAAAACCUUUCUACCAAGUCACAGUUCUGGAAGCCUUGGGGUUGGUCCUAUUCUGGUGUUGAUCCUGUAACAAACAGUGGAGAGAAGAGAAAGUCUGAAGUCACAUCUCUUGAGGAAGGCGAAGUCAUUGAGGAGGGCAUGGAGUCAAAGGGGUGUGUGAAAGGGUCCACUCAAGUCGAUAUUGAGGGUUCUGGUAUCAAUCAGCAGCAUGUAACUGAGAAGGCUUUCAUUGAAUUAGUUAUUCCUUGCAUAGACCAAAGCUCUGCUGACUCACACAAUACCUUUGCAAGUGAUUUGAUAAAGCAGUUUAACACCAUUGAGCAACAGAUAAACUCAGUUACUCGUGGUGUAAGCAAGCAGACUGGCACUGCUUCUUCUGGAAUUGAAGGUCCUACUAAUAAAAUUAACAAUCGCAAAGGCAUAAGAGGUGGUAGCCCUGGAUUGGCUAAACGAACACCAGCUCCUGUGGAGUCUGCUCCGCCUCCUUCCCCUGCAGCUUUGCGAGCUUCUAUGUCAUUGAGGUUGCAGUUUAUUGUGAGAUUGCUGCCAAUAAUAUGUGCAGAUGGGGAACCAUCAGCACGAAGCAUGAGGAAUAUGCUUGCCUCUGUAAUACUUCGAUUACUCGGAAGCAGGGUUGUGCAUGAGGAUGUCGACCUAUCUUCUAAUCUUGCACAGCUGAAGAGGGACAUGGAGCUGAUGCCAGUUGUUGCAUCCACAGAAAUGUCUGGAGAUAGUCUUUUUGAUCGGUUAUUGUUAGUUUUGCAUGGGUUGUUAAGCAGUUGCAAGCCAAGUUGGCUGAAGUCAAAGGAUGCCAAGGAUUUUUCUGGAUUUGACCGUGAAGCAGUGGAGGGUCUGCAGAAUGAAUUAGAUUCUAUGCAAUUGCCUGAGAUGAUUAGAUGGCGAAUCCAAGCCGCAAUGCCUAUAUUAUUUCCUUCUUUUCACAAUACAGUCUCCUGCCAACCACCCUCUGUCCCUAUUGGUGCUCUUAGUUUGCUUCAACCCAGCAUCUGUGUCCCUGGAUCUUACACUGGAACUAUUAAUCCAUCUCAGAGACAGGUUGCGUCAGCACGAAAUGCAAAUAAUAUGCCAGGAAAAUCCAAGUCAGUGCUAUCACAAGAGAAUGAUAUGGAAAUUGACCCAUGGACACUUUUGGAAUACGGAGCAGGAUCAGGUCCAUCUUCAAGUAGCACUGCAGCCAUUGGAGGCAGUGACAAUGCUAAUCUUCGAGCUUCAAGUUGGCUCAAGGGGGCUGUAAGAGUGAGACGGACAGACCCAUCGUAUAUUGGCGCUGUGGAUGAUGAUAGCUGAUUUUAGGUUCAACUAUGUUUUUAGAUUUGGUCUUACGGAAUAGCAAGGCCCCUCACAACAGGUAAAUUAAAGCGUUAUUUGUUGUGCACAUUGGUCUUGCCUGUCCCAUGUUUUACAGUGGAGAGGGGGGAUUUUGUUUUUCACAUUUUGGUUGGGCAUACUGGAAUCCUUGUGAAAGAAUGUGAUGAUGUAGUGAUGUAGGCCAUCUUCUAUUCAGCAUUGCAGAUUGACUGUCAUUUUAUGCCCCCGCUGUCUGGGCCGUAUGUACUCACAGGUGCGGUUCAGAGGCUUUGUUGUAUAUAUAGAGGAUAAUUGUUUCAGUUUACCAAUUGAUCAGAUGGAUGGCUGGAUUUUGUAGAUGAACAAAUACAUAAGGCAGGCAGAUGAAAUCCUGAUGUUCUGCAAUUAGUUGUGGGUUUAGAUAAUCAAAUGAAUGGAUUUGUAGAUUUAUCAUCCGGAUGGUACAAAAUCGAAAAAGCAGAAAUUGUUGAAUGGAUGACAAUGGGGUUGAGUUAGCGCCAUCUGUUUCGAGGACGUCUGUGAAAGUUCGGGGUACCUUUGCUUCAAGGCAAACAACAAGCUCUCGGCCCUUUCAGCCAAUAUGUGAUUUUUGUCACUAAGAUCAACAUCAGACAUCAGCUCUUUUACCAUGCCCCAUGAUGGUUUUGAAUGCUUUAUGCAUGCUUUACGUCUCCAUGUAUACAUUGAGGCUUCCACGCUGUCUGCAAGCUGUAGUGCUUCAUGUUCCGAUGCUAUACUUAGACAAUCCAGCAGAUAAUCCGGGCAGAACUUUUCUGUCCCCAACAUGAACCUGUAGAUCGACUCUCCUAUACUGGCCCUUCCGCUCUGUACAACUUCCCUCAUACAAAUAAGUAAUUUCUCCAAACUUUACUACUAUCAGCACAGCAGAUCCCCACCGUACUAUUUAAGCAACCAUAUUUUUCAUUUUCUUUUUCACAGAGAUAUCUCAAUUUGGGAUAGGAUUCUAAAUGCUAGAAUCUGAAUUUGAAUAAGUGAUUUCAUGAACUAAUUAAGCUAAAUCCGGGAUCAUUGUGCAACCGUGAAUGUUCUCUUUUAUUCAAUUGAAUUGGCUUCAGUUAUUUACAA